UCAGCACAGUUAAUGGCACUGGAAGAAUUCACGGGAGUUUUUAAUGUACUUUCCCGUGAUCUCUUAGUGGCAUCUAUGGUGCAGG
rnacentral:pre_miRNA from 1 species